rnacentral:rRNA from 1 species
GAUGAACGCUGGCGGCGUGCCUAAUACAUGCAAGUCGAACGCUGGAGCGGGAACUUUCUCUUCUGGAUGAUUGGCGCACGGGUGAGUAACGCGUAUGGAACCUGCCUGUUAGCGAGGGAGAACUAUUGGGGACGAUAGCUAAUACCCCAGAACAACAGUUAUUGCGUGUUAACUGUUUGUAAGAGACAACUUUUCCGUUACCAGUUGAACCUUCGGUGUUUUAUUUACUUGUUGAUGUAACGGCUCACCAAGGCGACGAUACAGAGCCGACCUGAGAAGGGGAUCGGACAAACUGGGACUGAGACACGGGCCAGACUUCCACGGGAAGCAGCAGUAGGGAAUCCUCGGGCAUUGAGCGAAGUCUGACCGAGCCAAGCCGGGGGAGUGAAGAAGGUUCUCGGAUCGGAAAGAUCUGUUGUAAGGGAAGAAAGAGUGGGAGAGUGGAAAGUUCACACUGUGACGGUAUCUUAUCAGAAAGGGACGGCUAACUACGUG